rnacentral:rRNA from 1 species
CUACGGAGGGUGCAAGCGUUAUUAGGAAUCACUGGGCGUAAAGGACGCGUAGGCGGGUUGGCAAGUCAGAUGUGAAAUCCUACAGCUUAACUGUAGAACUGCAUUUGAAACUGCUAACCUAGAGUAUGGGAGGGGGAGAUGGAAUUAGUGGUGUAGGGGUAAAAUCCGUAGAUAUCACUAGGAAUACCGAAAGCGAAGGCGAUCUCCUGGAACAUAACUGACGCUAAGGCGUGAAAGCGUGGGGAGCAAACAGGAUUAGAUACCCUAGUAGUCC